UACGAAGGGGGCGAGCGUUGUUCGGAAUUACUGGGCGUAAACGGCGCGCAGGCGGCCUUAGAAGUCAGAUGUGAAAGCCCCGGGCUCAACCUGGGAAUGGCAUUUGAUACUCUGAGGCUGGAGUACGGGAGAGGAGAGUGGAAUUCCCAGUGUAGAGGUGAAAUUCGUAGAUAUUGGGAAGAACACCGGUGGCGAAGGCGGCUCUCUGGACCGUAACUGACGCUGAGGCGCGAAAGCGUGGGGAGCAAACAGG
rnacentral:rRNA from 1 species